rnacentral:rRNA from 1 species
CUACGGGGUGCUGCAGUGAGGAAUUUUGCGCAAUGGGGGCAACCCUGACGCAGCAACGCCGCGUGAGUGAAGAAGGCCUUUGGGUCGUAAAACUCUGUCAAUGGGGAAGAAGUUACUAUGUUUAAAUAGAGUGUAGUAUUGACGGUACCCAUGAAGGAAGCACCGGCUAACUCCGUGCCAGCAGCCGCGGUAAUACGGGGGGUGCAAGCGUUAUUCGGAAUUAUUGGGCGUAAAGGGCACGCAGGCGGUCUUGCCAGUCAGAUGUGAAAGCCCGGGGCUCAACCCUGGAAGCGCAUUUGAAACUACAAGACUUGAGUACGGUAGAGGAAAGGGGAAUUCCUGGUGUAGAGGUGAAAUUCGUAGAUAUCAGGAGGAACACCGGUGGCGAAGGCGCCUUUCUGGACCGAAACUGACGCUGAGGUGCGAAGGCGUGGGUAGCGAACAGGAUUAGAUACCCUUGUAGUC